CCUACGGGAGGCAGCAGUGAGGAAUUUUCCGCAAUGGGCGAAAGCCUGACGGAGCAAUGCCGCGUGGAGGAGGAAGGCCUGUGGGUCGUAAACUCCUUUUCUCAGAGAAGAAGUUCUGACGGUAUCUGAGGAAUAAGCAUCGGCUAACUCUGUGCCAGCAGCCGCGGUAAUACAGGGGAUGCAAGCGUUAUCCGGAAUUAUUGGGCGUAAAGCGUCCUGAGGUGGCUUACCCAGUCGACUGUGAAAGCUCAAGGCUUAACCUUGAAACGGCAGUCGAAACUUGUAAGCUUGAGUACGGUAGGGGCAGAGGGAAUUCCCGGAGGAGAGGUGAAAUUCGUAGAUAUCGGGAGGAAGGCCAAAGGCGAAAGCACUCUGCUGGGCCGAUUACUGACACUGACAGACGAAAGCUAGGGGAGCGAAAGGGAUUAGAUACCCCUGUAGUCCUAGCCGUAAACGAUGGAUACUAAGUGUUGCGCGACUCAAAACGUGCAGUGCUGCAGCUAACGCGGUAAGUAUCCCGCCUGGGGAGUAUGCCCGCAAGGGUGAAACUUAAAGGAAUUGACGG
rnacentral:rRNA from 1 species